GUCGUUGUAGUAUAGUGGUGAGUAUCCCCGCCUGUCACGUCGGGAACCGGGUUCGAUCCCGGGCAAUGGCG
rnacentral:tRNA from 1 species